rnacentral:lncRNA from 1 species
AUAACAGAUUAAUUAGGGACAUCCUUAUAUGGAGGAAUAAAUGGAGUAUUCAUGACAUGAUUUUCACUGCAACAAUAAAAUGCAAAAACUCAAUACUCAAUCAAGUUUAAACCUAACCUUGUUACCUUGAUGUGUGCAGGUUUCUGAGGCUCAGAAACAUUCAGGAUAGAGUGGUCCUAAAGAGUCUCUCAUUACACUCAUGCCAGCACCUCUCCAUUUAAAAUGAACUCACAUAUCCGUGGCUCCGUCUGCUGUAGUAAUUGAAGGUAAUGCUCUUAAGGGUUUUGCCUUGUAUUCCAAAUACCCUGAUUUACUGUCGUCAUUGUUUGGGGCAGAAUAUCUUAGCAUCUAAAUUGUGUUCAAGCUGAAAGCCAACACUCCCUUUUCCUUUCCUUUCCAGGGGUACCUUGAUGUAGUUUGGGGACGAUGCCAAGGCUACCCUAAUCUAGGAGAUGAAUAUUCUGAAAUUAUUGACUGUCAUAGAUGGGAAGAGUGAAAGCAUCUUCAGCUCUAAAUUAAAAAAUACAGUGAGAAAAUGGAAAUUCCAUAGGAAAAAAAACAGGAGUGGGAAGAAUCUUUCCAGGGAAUAGUGUAUGGAAGAUGGGAGGAUAAAACAGUCUCUUUCUACUGAGGUUGCUGAACUGGGUCUGUAACGGCCGCAUUGCCCCAACCUGUAAAGUGCCUGUCUGCAGUUGUGGCGAAGGAGGCCGGCUUGCAAAGAGAAAAAGAGAGAAAAGAAGGAUACUUUGUGAUUCUCUGAGCAAUGUUAGUUUUUUCCAGCUACAUUAACCAACAAAUUUCCUUUUUAUUUCAACUGGAUUGAUUUAAGUUUUUAUCUUUUCGAGGAAAAGGUCUUGGUGAUUACAUUAUUCAAAUAAAAAUGCAAAAAGUAUUUUGUGUGUUUUCUCU